rnacentral:rRNA from 1 species
AGUGAACGCUGGCGGUAGGCCUAACACAUGCAAGUCGAACGGCAGCACAGUAAGAGCUUGCUCUUACGGGUGGCGAGUGGCGGACGGGUGAGGAAUACAUCGGAAUCUACUUUUUCGUGGGGGAUAACGUAGGGAAACUUACGCUAAUACCGCAUACGACCUACGGGUGAAAGCAGGGGAUCUUCGGACCUUGCGCGAUUGAAUGAGCCGAGGUCGGAUUAGCUAGUUGGCGGGGUAAAGGCCCACCAAGGCGACGAUCCGUAGCUGGUCUGAGAGGAUGAUCAGCCACACUGGAGCUGAGACACGGUCCAGACUCCGACGGGAGACAGCAGUGGGGAAUAUUGGACAAGGGGCGCAAGCCUGAUCCAGCCAGACCGCGAGGGUGAAGAAGGCCUUCGGGUUGUAAAGCCCUUUUGUUGGGAAAGAAAAGCAGCAGGUUAAUACCCCGCUGUUCUGACGGUACCGAAGGAAUAAGCACGGGCAAACUUCGU